GGCACAGGGAAAUCUCAAUUCCUCAAAUAUGCAGCAAAGAUUACACCAAGAUCUGUGCUUACCACAGGAAUUGGAUCUACUAGUGCAGGAAUGAAAUGGGGAAGGCACUGAGUACAGCGGACUGUUACUUUAUAUGAUGUUUUGAAAGUUUAUUACAAUGAGUGCGUAUUUUUAUAAUUUAAAAAAUUAACACCCUAGAAUAUAUUUUAUAGAUUAAAAACUAAUUUAAGUUGAAAGUGCUUUAUAUGCUUUGAUUAGUACAAUAAUAUUAAAUGCACUUUGUUAAAUAGAUUUGUUAAGUUCAAAGAUGUGUGUCCCCCUAUUUAAAUUUUUAAAUUACCAUUGAUGAAGUUAAACUUUUUCCCUUCAAAUUUUGAAAAUAAAGCGCUGGAGUAUUUUAAUAAAUUCCCAACGAUAAAACCUUGGCAAGUUUCAGCUUUCUAAAUAUUUAUCACUGCACAUAUUAAGAAUAUUUAUCUUUUUUAUUACUUAGAAAAAAUUGUCAAAAUUUGUGCAUUGCCAUUAUGACUUUACCUUUUACUUCCUAGCCCACUUUCGUGUUUUAUGUUCAGGGUGUUUGGAUAUCGAGUUAUUUUCAUUAGAUUUCAACACGUUUUUGAAUUAAACCUUCCAGACUACUUA